UGCUUUUCAUCUAACCUAUAACUGGAGAUCCAUCUAGACUCAUUCAUGUGCAUCAUUCAUUCAUGAUCAACAUUUGCUAACAAGCAUCAUAUGUCCAAUGCUUAUGAUUAAUGAAAACAAGGGUUUUGCUUGAGGAGUAUGGUUUUCCUCAUCAUAUGGGUUGAAACCCUAACCGCUUGAUUCUUUCGAACCUUAACUUCUGAGGUCUACACCAUGACAUUCAUCUAGGCAUCCUAACCUUAAUUAUUGACUAUGCUCCUUUGAGAUCUUCUUGCUUGACUUUCUGUGCAUUGGCAUGACUUCUACACCCAAAUAGUGGGUCCAUGGUUCGAGAUGUUGCUUGGGGAGCUUUGUGUUGUGUUUGAAACCCCAAUCAGGGAUAAGUGGUAUUCAGGUGCUUUGUUGGGUUGAAUUUGUUAUAUAAGGUUCAUCAAAACCCUAGAUUUUGAUUUGGGAGGUUUGUAAAUCAUCUAACUUGCAUUGAGGUGUUGGAAACCCUAGUUGGGAUUCAUGGAAUUGUUGCACUAGUUGAGUUGACAUCCCACUUGGCUUGAGGUUUUUGUUUACGCCUUGGCAUUGUGAUUUUGACUUAGCUAAAUCCUAAUUCAUGGUGUUGUAUGAUUGCUUCAAGGCAGGUUUUCAUUCAUGUUUCAUUGACUUCAUGGUAUCAUGAUCCAUUUGAUCUGAGUCUUAUUUCAUUCACACUUCAUUCAUUAUUUUCAUGGUUUUAUUAAAAUGUCAAGAUUCAUUCAUGCUUUUAUUUAUAGUCUCGUUG
rnacentral:lncRNA from 1 species